UCUUAGAAACCCUUUCGCAUCCGGCGAGAAGAAUUAUAUCUUCUUUCUACGUUACUCAUGUUAGCAUAUUCU